UUUUUCUUGUUAAAAUAAUGUUAAUUGUGAUUCCCCUGAAGCAAAGUUUGAACAGGCAUUCUAAAUGUUCAAAAGUCUGUUAGAAAAUGAGACACAAGAUGAGCAUACAGGAAUACAUUGGAGUGACAGCCAAAACGUUGUAUUGCUUGGUAGAAAGAGAGUACAAGAAAGUAGCACAACGUGGCACUAAUGAAUGCUUGUUUAGUAGCCUAAGCCGGUACAAUGUAUAAAGAAAUGUAUUCUGAAUACAUUCUUUCCAUUCAUUUAGCACAAAUAAAUUGGUUUCACUUUGCAGUGGAACACAGUGUCACUUCUUGAUAUUGACAUCCUACUCAGUGAACGUUUUUCCUGAGGUUCCUGUUGAGUACUGAGGUUUAUAUAUUAUUGAUGAUUUUAAGUGGUUUACCUCAUAUAUAUGGAUAUGUGGGCCAUGGAAAAUGACAAGAGAAUGUUUAUUUUAUGAGAAUAUGUAUCUGGCUGUAAUCAGAGCAGAACAUGAGUAAUUUAUCUUUUGUUUACAAAAGUUUGUUUGACAUGCCUAAUGCUUUCUUAAGGCCAUUUUUAAGAAGGAAAUCCAGCGUUCUGGUAGUAUACUAACACUUGUACAUAUAUUUUCAUGUUUGCUGCUCAUGUCUUCAGUAAGAAUUGCAAACUCAAAAUCUUUAUGAAAUUAGUGCUCUUAAAUUGAAAUAGUAAGUUAAAAUAAUGUUGUAAAAGGUUCUGCUUAAGGCAAAACUAGAACUCUUUCACCUGUAGCUAUGUAGUUGCAGCUCUAAUUUAGAGAAAUGCAUAUACAGUGUAUUACACUUCCUAAACCAAUAUGGGAUCAAGUGCAUUAUCAAGUUACAUUAGUUAUGGUAGUGACUCUCCAAACAAGUGAUUCUCAAGAUUGUGGCAGACCUAAAAUUUGACCAGUGCUUCCAUCUGAAAAUAAUUGACUGUAGCAGAUGCUCAUUUUUCUGUAAAGGAAACUCAGCUGUGAGCAUUGUAAUUAAACAGAGCUCCUGAAUCAGUGUAGAAUUACAGGUGAGAAAAUUACAGAUAGUCAGAGGUGGGACUAAGGUCAAGGUAAGAUUCAUUUGGUUUGAUUCUUGUCGUUUUGUAAACACGAGACAAAGUAAAAUAAGAAGUCUUUUACAAGUAGAAUUCCAACUCAAGUAUACCACUAUUUGAAAUGGUGCCCUCCUGUCUAAAGUGCUUUGGGAUACUUGGACAUACGGCUCUACAGAGUGUGAGCUCGUAGUGAUGGUAGUGUAAAUGCGGGGGAGGGGAAUCCUUUAACAGUGUUGCUUUGAGAUCUUAAAAUGGAAAUUUGCCUAGAAUAAUUUACAUUUGAAGCAUAUUCCAAAACUGAGUUUGUAUAACCCAAGUUCAGCUGCUGUUAUAAAGUGUCUUAGAGAACUCUCCUUACUAUUCCAGUGGGACUCUUACCAGAGGAAAGUGAAGAACUGACAAAUGUAUACUAAAUCUUGAAAGUGUAACAAGGCACUCAGAUGGCCUUACCUAGCUAAGAACUUUGAACAAACAUUUGCUUGCAAUCAGAAGUGUUAAAUUCUAUUUGUAGACCUUUUGGAUAAGAUAAGAAAUUGUGCACAAACAUCUCUAAUAAAUGUAAAUGGACUUUCAGUUUUCCUUGUGAAUUAUAGUCAUGAAUUAUGAUUCUGCAACUGUGAUUUUUAUCAGAUCUCCUAUAGACUGGACAAACUCACUUGACAGUGAGUUCCAGCUUGCUAUGAGGCCUUAAGUGCUUGGCCUUACCUCAGAAGCAUCUGGGUGGGUUUCUGUUGUGCUUUUCAUUCCCAAUGCCUGUCAGUUGCAUGCUGCAUCACAACUAGUUACAUAAGGCCACAGAAGCAAUUCCUAGCCACUAUGAGUAUUUUGUGAGUGUACCCUUUGACAGCUAAAGUUUAGUUUUAAAAAUUACACAUAUCUUUUAGCUGCUUUCAGCAGUGUUCUUCUCUGAGACAAUGAAGCAGCCUUCUUUUUACUUUUUCUCUCAAAGGAUCUGGCUUGGACACUGGAACGGAGCUGAUACUCUGUAGAGCAUUAAGAGUUUACUUUAUCCAUGAUUUGUUCCAGAGAAGUUCUUGGGAAGAAGAGGUGGGACUGUCCGGUGAUAGUCUUCCAGCUAAGAGCCAGAUAAGAUUGUUUUCAUUACAUGUACUCCCCCGAGAGCCUAUUCCCAAGGGCAGAAAGGACUACUGGAGUUUUUCAAGGAAGUGUCAGUGCUUUUCCAUUGGCAAUCCCUCUAUUGGAGCUGAGCAGAACAGGAUUCUUUACUGAUAACAUGUUCAGCAAUCCAUUUGACUGGGUGGAAUCCCUGUGCACUUCAGCUGAAAGAAAAAUGUAAUCUUGGAAGCCAUGAAAAUGAGAAAGCUUCCUGGGAUCUGUGCAAGUUUUGCUGCUGACAGGAGGCAAUAUAAACUCCAUGUAUUUUGUUAAAUAAGUGGGAACUGAUAGUGGAGGCAAAUAAAAGAGCCUUGAAUACACAGUCUCUCAUCCUCAGCAUUAUCGCAUACUAAGGAUGCAUCCAGGGACCUUGUUUCAGUCUUGAAGUACUUUUUCUAAUCCUAAUGUUUAGUUUUACAAGCAGUAUAAGUUCUAAUACUGUCCAACUCUUUUUGAUGUUUCCUUUUUGUUUCAGUCAUGGCAGGCUAUUUCUUUUUGAUCCUUGGGAGUCUCCAGAGCAUGGACUAUGCAGAGCAUAUUUCUCCAGUUCAAGCCAUCUCAUAAGAAACCAGGUUUAUGAGUUGCUGUGUUGCAAAUCCUUAAGUUCCUGGCAUUGGUAUCUAAUUAAAAAUCAUUUUAAAAAAAGGCAAUUCCCCUUUCCACAGAAAUAUUGGAAGUAGUCUUCUAUGUGCAAAGGUGGGCUUUCUCAUUAUCUAAAUGAAUACUGUCUCUGUAAACAAAGGUGUUUGGUGGUAAAACCUAACCUGUCCAAGGCACUUUAGUUUGUGAUUGCUGACUUUUGUUUUGGCAGGUGUUUCAGAUGAAAUCUAAGCCUCCUGUGGAGGAAGAAAAAAAUAA